UAUGGCCAGAUCACGUUGAAAUACCGGUUCCCGUACGAUUACCAAAGUUAAACAACGUUGAGCAUGAUCAGUGCCAGGAUGGGUGACCGCUUGGGAAUUCCA